AAUAUUGGACAAUGGGCGCAAGCCUGAUCCAGCCAUGCCGCGUGAGUGAUGAAGGCCCUAGGGCUGUAAAGCCCUUUCACCGGUGAAGAUAAUGACGGUAACCGGAGAAGAAGCCCCGGCUACCUGCGUCCCAGCAGCCGCGGUAAUACGAAGGGGGCUAGCGUCGUUCGGAUUUACUGGGCGUAAAGCGCACGUAGGCGGAUUGGUAAGUUAGGGGUGAAAUCCCGGAGCUCAACUCCGGAACUGCCUUUAAUACUGCCAGUCUAGAGUCCGAGAGAGGUGAGUGGAACUCCUAGUGUAGAGGUGGAAUUCGUAGAUAUUAGGAAGAACACCAGUGGCGAAGGCGGCUUACUGGCUCGGAACUGACGCUGAGGUGCGAAAGCGUGGGGAGCAAACA
rnacentral:rRNA from 1 species